GAUGAACGCUGGCGGCGUGCCUAAUACAUGCAAGUCGAACGCAUUGUGGUUGAAAUGAUAUGAAGAACUUGUUCAGAUUUGAUUUUCAACAUUGCAAUGAGUGGCGAACGGGUGAGUAACACGUGGGAAACCUACCUCUUAGCAGGGGAUAACAUUUGGAAACAAAUGCUAAUACCGUAUAAUAAUUAAAACCGCAUGGUUUUAGUUUAAAAGAUGGUCUUGCUAUCACUAAGAGAUGGUCCCGCGGUGUAUUAGUUAGUUGGUGAGGUAAUGGCUCACCAAGACAAUGAUACAUAGCCGAGUUGAGAGACUGACCGGCCACAAUGGGACUGAGACACGGCCCAUACUCCUACGGGAGGCAGCAGUAGGGGAAUCUUCCACAAUGGACGAAAGUCUGAUGGAGCAACGCCGCGUGUGUGAUGAAGGUUUCGGCUCGUAAAACACUGUUGUAAGAGAAGAAUGACAUUGAGAGUAACUGUUCAAUGUGUGACGGUAUCUUAACC
rnacentral:rRNA from 1 species